rnacentral:rRNA from 1 species
UACGAAGGGGGCUAGCGUUGUUCGGAAUCACUGGGCGUAAAGGGCGCGUAGGCGGCGCGACAAGUCAGGCGUGAAAGCCCCGGGCUCAACCCGGGAAUUGCGCUUGAUACUGUCGUGCUUGAGGCCGGGAGAGGAUGGCGGAAUUCCCAGUGUAGAGGUGAAAUUCGUAGAUAUUGGGAAGAACACCAAUGGCGAAGGCAGCUCGCUGGGACGGUACUGACGCUGAGACGCGAAAGCGUGGGGAGCAAACAGG